rnacentral:rRNA from 1 species
GACGUAGGGCGCGAGCGUUGUCCGGAUUUAUUGGGCGUAAAGAGCUCGUAGGCGGCUUGUCGCGUCGACUGUGAAAACCCGUGGCUCAACCAUGUGGUCUGCAGUCGAUACGGGCAGGCUAGAAUUCGGUAGGGGAGACUGGAAUUCCUGGUGUAGCGGUGAAAUGCGUAGAUAUCGGGAGGAACACCUGAGGCGAAGGCGGGUUACUGGGCUGAUACUGACGCUGAUGCGCGAAAGCCAGGGGAGCAAACGGG